rnacentral:rRNA from 1 species
GACGAACGCUGGCGGCGUGCUUAACACAUGCAAGUCGAACGGAAAGGCCCUGCUUUUGUGGGGUGCUCGAGUGGCGAACGGGUGAGUAACACGUGAGUAACCUGCCCUUGACUUUGGGAUAACUUCAGGAAACUGGGGCUAAUACCGGAUAGGAGCUCCUGCUGCAUGGUGGGGGUUGGAAAGUUUCGGCGGUUGGGGAUGGACUCGCGGCUUAUCAGCUUGUUGGUGGGGUAGUGGCUUACCAAGGCUUUGACGGGUAGCCGGCCUGAGAGGGUGACCGGCCACAUUGGGACUGAGAUACGGCCCAGACUCCAACGGGAGGCAGCAGGGGGGAAUAUUGCACAAUGGGCGGAAGCCUGAUGCAGCAACGCCGCGUGCGGGAUGACGGCCCUCGGGUUGUAAACCGCUUUCGCCUGUGACGAAGCGUGAGUGACGGUAAUGGGUAAAGAAGCACCGGCUAACUACGUG